AUUGAACGCUGGCGGCAUGCCUUACACAUGCAAGUCGAACGGCAGCGCGGACUUCGGUCUGGCGGCGAGUGGCGAACGGGUGAGUAAUACAUCGGAACGUACCCUGUUGUGGGGGAUAACUAGUCGAAAGAUUAGCUAAUACCGCAUACGACCUGAGGGUGAAAGUGGGGGACCGCAAGGCCUCACGCAGCAGGAGCGGCCGAUGUCUGAUUAGCUAGUUGGUGGGGUCAAGGCCCACCAAGGCGACGAUCAGUAGCUGGUCUGAGAGGACGAUCAGCCACACGGGGACUGAGACACGACCCAGACUCCUACGGGAGGCAGCAGUGGGGAAUUUUGGACAAUGGGGGCAACCCUGAUCCAGCAAUGCCGCGUGUGUGAAGAGGGCCUUCGGGUUGUAAAGCACUUUUGUCCGGAAAGAAAUCGCGCUGGUUAAUACCUGGCGUGGAUGACGGUACCGGAAGAAUAAGCACCGGCUAACUACGUGCCAGCCGCCGCCGUAA
rnacentral:rRNA from 1 species